GAAAUUCUCACCUCCUUAAUUGGCACCUGAGUUGGAACAACACAAGCCCCAAUUCUUGAGAAUGGAGCCAAUUAGGAGAUGAAAUAUGAUCAGAACUUCAAGAUCAAAAGAAAGUUGGAUGAAGUUGUAGAUGAGACUGACAUUAAGGUUACAGUGUAAGCACCGCCUUUUACCACACAUGGCUACCACCUCGUAACAUUAUUAAAUAGUAGUUUCACAACACAGUUGAUUACCAGUCGAGAAAGAACGAGCAAAAGAAAACUCACUGGUCACAUAGCUUGGCCUGAUGAAAA
rnacentral:misc_RNA from 1 species